rnacentral:rRNA from 1 species
CCUACGGGAGGCAGCAGUGGGGAAUCUUGCGCAAUGGGCGAAAGCCUGACGCAGCCAUGCCGCGUGAAUGAUGAAGGUCUUAGGAUUGUAAAAUUCUUUCACCGGGGACGAUAAUGACGGUACCCGGAGAAGAAGCCCCGGCUAACUUCGUGCCAGCAGCCGCGGUAAUACGAAGGGGGCUAGCGUUGCUCGGAAUUACUGGGCGUAAAGGGAGCGUAGGCGGAUAGUUUAGUCAGAGGUGAAAGCCCAGGGCUCAACCUUGGAAUUGCCUUUGAUACUGGCUAUCUUGAGUACGGAAGAGGUAUGUGGAACUCCGAGUGUAGAGGUGAAAUUCGUAGAUAUUCGGAAGAACACCAGUGGCGAAGGCGACAUACUGGUCCGUUACUGACGCUGAGGCUCGAAAGCGUGGGGAGCAAACAGGAUUAGAUACCCUGGUAGUCCACGCUGUAAACGAUGAGUGCUAGUUGUCGGCAUGCAUGCAUGUCGGGUNACGCAGCUAACGCAUUAAGCACUCCGCCUGGGGAGUACGGUCGCAAGAUUAAAACUCAAAAUGAAUUGACGG